CCUGUGGUCACCUGUGGUUACUUAGACUCUCCCGGCCCCGUCUGCACUGCCUAAUGCCUUUUAGCUGUGACAUUAUAAUGUGUUAAUUUGUUUCCUAAACUGGAGUUCAUUUGCUUCAGUAAUUAUUCCCAGAGCCCUCCUCCCCCUCCUCCCCGUCCUCCCCCCUCCUGCCCUAACCAAGCAGAGACGAGGAGUAAAUGAAUUGCAGCGUGCCAGGCUGGGAGCCAUAACUGAUCCCUGAGAUCUUAGUGACGCUGCACGGUGCCCAACACGGUGAAAUCCCAAGUUGACUGACUCACUCGUGAAAGACCAGGCAAACAAAAAACAAAAGCGUCCGAGUUGCUUUACUUUCAUCUCCAAAACGCAAAAGACCAACAAUGUAGACAACAAUUCCAUGGACUCCACCAGUGAAAAUAUUGCGGUGAAUUUUCUUUACAUCAAGGAUUCGAUAAAUCAACUUCAUCUGACUGUGGGUUCGAAGGUGCGGCAAGACACGGAGAUGAGGAAAUGCAGGGGGAAAGUUAAAAACAUAUUGUUCCGAACCUGAGACAGUCCACACCUCCUGUCGAAGAAACGACAUGGAUGAUGGACGACCGUGACAGACACUGUGGAGGACACCUUGUUCCACUACCUGCCAUACAUCAUUCCAACUCCUGCCUUCAUUCCUUCUGUUGACAUCUGAACCCAUCUGACCCGCGGCGCACACAGAGCUGAUGCUGCAGAACCAAGAUGUGAUGCAGCCUCUGAGAUGAAAGACAACAGUGUCAGGGACACGAGCAGCCCAACACUGAAGGACCAGACUUCCUCUUACCCUGCACUUCAUCAUGUCGCUGACCCUCUGUUGCAUGGACUGCCCAGCUUUAGGUCGGACCAGAAUGUAGAUGGCUUUGACCUCGGGACACGACCUCAGCAGCUUCUCCACC